GCCCGGGUGGUGGAACGGCAGACACCGGGAGCUUAAACCUCCCUGGCCUACGGGCCGUGCGGGUUCGAAUCCCGCUCCGGGCA
rnacentral:tRNA from 1 species